ACACAGUUCCAUAUUGUUUGCAGGGAGAGUAGAGCACAGGACACUUCAUACAAAGGCUUCCAGAGGGUGCUUGGGUAUACUGCAUCUGGCUUGGAUUUUCCUGUUUCGUGGUUGGUUGUCUCUGAGUUGUCCUUACCCUCUGCUUCAUUCCAGGACUGGAGUGACUUGGAAGUACUGAGCGCUGCUAUUAGCAGUGGUCCUGGCCCUGCCUUGAAUAAACUUGGCAUUAAUAUUAGAAGAUGGUGGAUGAUCAGGACAGCAUUUCAAGUGAGAGGGCUGGAGCGCACUCCUGGGAAAAGGAUAACUUUGCUGAGAGUAAAGUUGGUCAAACAUUGA
rnacentral:lncRNA from 1 species